rnacentral:lncRNA from 1 species
GUGCGCGGUGCGAGUCGGCGGUGCCACUUUUGUAGUUGGCAGGCGUUGCGUUGCGUCGCUGUAGCUGUGUUCCGUAGGGAGGAGUUGAUAUGUCUGCAAAGAAUUCAAGAAUCAGAAAGAUUCAUAGAUUGGGAGUAUUUGAAUACAUUUGCUCAUGGAGGCAAAGCCUGCUUUCUCACUGUCUGGGGAAUGGCAGUUACCCUCAGGCUUCCAGCAGAAGGUGUGGCCCAGACUAAUGGUGUGCCUUCCAGCCUCAAGGUCUGCAUUAAAGGCAUGUAUGUGUCUUCCCGCCUCAAGAUCCGGAUCACAGUUCCUCAUGUUGUGGUGACCGCCAACCAUAAAAUUAUUUUGUUGCAAGGCUGGAGAGAUGGCUCGGCAGUUAAGAGCACUGACUGUUCUUCCAGAGGUCCGGAGUUCAAUUCCCAGCAACCACAUGGUGGCUAACAACCACCUUGAAUGAGAUUUGGUGCCUUCUGCUGGCAUGCAGGCAGCAGAAGACUGUAUACAUAAUAAAUAAAAUCUUUUUUAAAAAACUAUUUUGCGGCUACUUCAUAGCUGUAAUUGUUUUUGUUUGUUUUUCGAGACAGGGUUUCUCUAUGUAGCUUUGGAGGCUGUCCUGGAACUCACUCUGGAGACCAGGCUGGCCUCGAACUCCCAGAGAUCCGCCUGCCUCUACCUCCCGAGUUCUGGAA